rnacentral:rRNA from 1 species
AUGUGUACGCGGAAGCGGGAAGGCGGGAUGGGGUUUAGAGAUUUUGUGAUUUUUAAUCAAGCCCUCCUUGCAAAGCAAGUUUGGAGGAUUAUCACGGUUCCAAACUUCCUAUAUGCUAGAGUUUUAAAAGCAAGAUACUUCUCUGAGAUGGAGAUAAUGGCUGCACCUUGUCCACAGGGGUGUUCGUACACAUGGCGGAGCUUAAUGCAUGGUAGGGAAUUAUUAGCACACAGGCUGAUAUGGAGAAUUGGUGAUGGCUCCAAAGUAAAUGUGUAUCAUGAUCAAUGGAUUCCAAGGACGGGUAGUAUGGUGCCACUGGGUACUGUCUACGUACAUGGUAUAACAAAAGUGGCUAAUCUCCUGAGUCCGCAAGGAACAAACUGGAACACCAGAAAACCGCAUCAAGUAUUUUCUGCUGGGGACGCUGCUGAUGUUCGGAAGAUCAUAGUGGGAGGACCGUAUACGGAGGACUACAGGGCAUGGCAGUUCACAAAAGAUGGCAGGUUUUCCAUACAGUCGGCAUAUCACCUGGGCAUAACCUUGAGGGCUUCGAGCAAGGCACUGGCCUCCUGCUCGGACCCAAAGGCAAACCAAAGAAGCUGGCAGCAGCUUUGGGACACGGACGUUCCCAAUAAAAUGAACGGUUAA